rnacentral:lncRNA from 13 species
CCCAAGAAGACUCAAGGCUGUAAUCACAGCCAAAGGGGCUUCAACAGAGUACUGAGUAAAGGGUCUGAAAAUUUCAGUAAAUUUUUUUAUACAUUUUCUAAAAUAAAACAUUGACUUUUUGCUUUGUCAUAAUGGAGUGUUGUCUGUAGAUUGAGGGGGAAAAAAGAUUGAAUCCAUUUGAGAAUAAGGCUGUAACGUAACAAAAUGUGGAAAAAGUCAAGGGGUCUGAAUACUUUCUGAAUGCCUUGUAUUACACACCCGGAUUCACACUGCUACACUGGAGACACACAAUGAAUCCACAUACAUUCUGCAUAUUUCAACAGAAUCGAGCAAAAUAUAAAAAAGUUACCUGAAAAUGUUAUUUGUGUGGUUUGUUCCACAAAUCAACAACUUAGUGAUUACAGUACAAAUUAAACUAGAGAUGUAAGUCCACGUGGUACCGAACCACUGGAGAGACCGAGGCCCUAUGGGUCCUGGUGGAAAGUAGUGCUCAACAUGGGGAAUAGAGGUUGAUUUCAGUCCUCUCCCAGAGCACCUUGUCCUGAACUGGAGACACUACGAAGAGAAACAGUUCACACUGCUGAGGGACUUUCAUACUGAGACAGAGGACAAUGGAGCCUGAUCCCAGAUCUGUUUGUGUCAUGUGAACUCCUUGUCUUGCCAAACACAUCUGGGACCAAGCUAAGGAGUGCUGUCUGCAUAGCCAGAGUCCAGUGAAGCAGGGAAUGCAGACUGUUGUUAUUGCUGAGUUUGGUAUCUCUAUUAUCCAAACAUCUCUAGACCAAUGACGGAAACAAACACCUGUCUAUGAUCUCGACUAGAACAGAAAUGUUAAAAACUGACCCCCAAGCAGUUGUCCUUCUCCGGAAGGCAAAUUAAAAGUGACGAGGCUCUACGCUUGUUUUCAUUUAUUAAGAAACAUUUAAAUGCCAAAGAAACAAACGUUGCACUGAAGGACUGAAGGACAAACACCAUUCAGCUUUAACAUCUAAACUUCAGCUCCUUCACAGGUUGUUGGUAAAACAUGAUGAAGGAAAGGUGAGAGGAUUUAAACUGCAGGUUCACUCAGUGAUACUCUUCUCUACCAGGGCUGCAGAAUACCGGGAACCUUCAAUAAAUUACCUCGUUUUACAGAAAUCCUGGUUUGGAAGUUUCCCGGGAAUAAGCAGAGAAUCCGGAAGCAUCCAACCAGGUUUUCUGGAAAACCAGGGAAUUCAUUUGAAAGUUCUUGGUAUUCUGCAGCCUUACUCUCCCAUCAGACAGCUGGUGGGUAUCAGGGACAAC